UAGGCGUUGGUCUCCAGAAAACUUCCUGCUCUGCGUUUCUGCUUCUUCCACCUCCGUUCCAGCGAGAGAGUUAGUCUAGGGUCGAGCCCAACAAAGGUGGGGUGGGCCACCGCAAGAGUACCGGCGACCGGCACGGAUGCCGCCAACCACCAUAGGUGGGCCCGAGACCGGCAUGGACGCCGCUUUUGGUGAAGAUCAGCAACGGCUGGAGGCCCUAGAGCUCCCCCGGGAACGUUGUGGUAGGAGCCUCCGCAGAAGCUAAAUGUCGUCCAUCGUCGGGAACUCGGGAUCCACCAUGGGAGGUGUUGCUGCGGGGAAGGACGCCAUUCACCGCCGUCAUCCGUGGUGGGAGGGGUAGCUGGCUUUUGAGUACGCCUACAAUCAAACUUGGACAAACAUGACUGCAUGAAGUAGACCGACUGCUGGAAGGAAUUGUUGUGGAACAUCAACCUUUGCACAGUCAUUCAUGUCAACAUACCCAUAGGAUGUCCUUGGAAUAUAGCCACCAGACAAUACGGAACGGUCGUGUCUUGAUUGUUUGGCUAUUUGUUGAUUUGCAAAGAUUGAACAUUGGAAGAGGGCUUGGUAAGAGUCUCAAUAAUAUAAUUUGUUUUGCUUCUUUCA